GACGAACGCUGGCGGCGUGCUUAACACAUGCAAGUCGAACGGAAAGGCCUGCUUUCCCUUGUGGAUUGCGGGUACUCGAGUGGCGAACGGGUGAGUAACACGUGAGUGAUCUGCCCCCAACUUGGGUAUAAGCCUGGGAAACUGGGUCUAAUUCCCGAUAGGACUGCAGGGUGGUGCCUGUGGUGGAAAACGAUUUUCUAGUGGUUGGGGAUGAGCUCGCGGCCUAUCAGCUUGUUGGUGGGGUAAUGGCCUACCAAGGCGGCGACGGGUAGCCGGCCUGAGAGGGUGGACGGCGACAUUGGGACUGAGAUACGGCCCAGACUCCGACGGGAGGCAGCAGUGGGGAAUAUUGCACAAUGGGCGGAAGCCUGAUGCAGCGACGCCGCGGGGGGGAUGACGGCCUUCGGGUUGUAAACUCCUUUCGACCGCGAGGAAGCCACCUGGUUGGAAGGGUGGUGACGGUAGUGGGAGAAGAAGCACCGGCUAACUACGUG
rnacentral:rRNA from 1 species